rnacentral:rRNA from 2 species
UACGUAGGUCCCGAGCGUUGUCCGGAUUUAUUGGGCGUAAAGCGAGCGCAGGUGGUUUAUUAAGUCUGGUGUAAAAGGCAGUGGCUCAACCAUUGUAUGCAUUGGAAACUGGUAGACUUGAGUGCAGGAGAGGAGAGUGGAAUUCCAUGUGUAGCGGUGAAAUGCGUAGAUAUAUGGAGGAACACCGGUGGCGAAAGCGGCUCUCUGGUCUGUAACUGACGCUGAGGCUCGAAAGCGUGGGGAGCGAACAGG